UGAUAAAAUAAAGUAACCUGCACAGACUC
rnacentral:piRNA from 1 species